GGUGAGUAACGCGUGGGGAAUCUACCUCUUUGUGGGGAAUAACGCUCCGAAAGGAGUGGUAAUACCGCAUGAGACCAAUGGCUGGAAUGUUGUUGGUGAAACCUGGGGGCCGCAAGGCCUGGGGCAAGGAGAGGAUCCUGCGUCUGAUUAGCUAGUUGGCGGGGUAACGGCCCACCAAGGCGACGAUCAGUAACCGGCCUGAGAGGAUGAUCGGCCACACUGGAACUGAGACACGGUCCAGACUCCUACGGGAGGCAGCAGUGGGGAAUUUUGCGCAAUGGGCGAAAGCCUGACGCAGCAACGCCGCGUGGGUGAUGAAGGUCUUCGGAUCGUAAAACCCUGUCGUCAGGGACGAAGGUAGGGGUGUUAACAGCAUCCUUGCUUGACGGUACCUGGAGAGGAAGCCCCGGCUAACUCUGUGCCAGCAGCCGCGGUAAUACAGAGGGGGCAAGCGUUAUUCGGAAUUAUUGGGCGUAAAGGGCGCGU
rnacentral:rRNA from 1 species